UUAAAUCCCACGCAAUGUCGAGUCCGCACACGUACCGUGCAAACAUAGCUGCAUGUCUGUUCCCCACUUUUCUUGAACUAAUCAAAGAUCUAAUGCUAGAUAAAAGAAGUGACAUUACACUGUACAGACUGUAAAAUGUGCAAGAGCAGAGGCCCAAAUACCGGUAUGAGCUACAAGUGACUGUCAGUCGAUGAUCUGAACUUUCUGUCGGACCGUGUACAGUGUUACCGGGUACCUCGCACUAUAACGCUACAUAUCAAAGUAUUCCUCAGGCUUGAAAGAAAUUGUGUUGGGGACUUUUGAGGACUCCCUGGUUUCAUUAUCAGGAGGAAGUACCGGUAAAAGGUGCAAGAGCAGAGGCCCAAAUACCGGUAUGAGCUACAAGUGACUGUCAGUCGAUGAUCUGAACUUUCUGUCGGACUGUGUACAGUGCACCUCACACUAAUGCUAUAUAUCAAAGGUAAAAUGUGCAAGAGCAGAGGCCCAAAUACCGGUAUGAGCUACAAGUGACUGUCAGUCGAUGAUCUGAACUUUCUGUCGGUCUGUGUACAGUGUACCGGGACCUCACACUAAUGCCACAUAUCAAAGUAUUCCUCAGGCUUGAAAGAAAUUGCGUUGGGGACUUUUGAGGACUCCCUGGUUUCAUUAUCAGGAGGAAAUACCGAAAGAAUCCAACACAGCUUCUAGUUCUACACUCUCUGCAUGGGUAAAAUCCAAGGUCGGGACCAGGGUUGAGAAGCUCUACCCCGGGUAAGAAAACCCAACAUUUGCUGAUCUGGGUACACACCGAUGUAAGUGUGAACAGUAGCUUUGCCCACCCGUGUUCAAUGGGACCCAGAUCUGCAUACGAUUGACCUGUGUUCAUUUUUAUAGUGUGGAAAGGCCAUACAUGUAUCUUUCAUGUGUACUAACUUUUACAUUUCAUUUAAAGGGCCCAUGCAAUGUAAUUUUUUAAUGCCAUCCUUGGAAAUUGUGCGCCAUUUAACCUUAUUUUGAAUUUUCAUUUCACCAUUUUUAAUGAAGGGCAUUUUGGUGCCCUUUUUUGGUUUUUAUGCCAAUGUGUAUUUGCAUAUAUAUUCUUUGGCAAAAGUGUGCUGUCAUUUCAGGCAGAUACCUCAAUGUUACAGCUAUUUCCACAUCAAAAUUUGCCACAAUUUUGGAUGUUUUGCUAUGGCAAAUUUUCUUUUCUUUAGUGAUUCGUUGUUGUUUCAGUACAUGACAUUAGGUCAGUGAGCAAAGUUUCCCCUCAAAUGUUUUCCAUGAGCAACUUUUGGGUUCACAUUUUGAAAAGAAAACCCCUAAACUCAACAGUGUCUUCCUGAAAUGACAACACAGCAACAGCGCCUUCAUUAGUCAGGAAAAGCAUAUGGAAAACUUGAAAUGUUUUUAAAAAAGGGCACUUUUCAAUAAAAUCAACCAAAAAGGGAUGACAAAUACUUUUCAUACAUUUAAGAGGAGUAGAAAGUUGCACAAAAUAUGAGUGCAAGUAAAAUUGACCUAUCACAGUAGAAUCGUGUUAAAAUCGCAUCAACGCAGCUUGUGAAAUUAUUGUCCAAUUACAUGAUAUACGAAUGGACGCGGAACACGUAAAAUCUGAGA